rnacentral:rRNA from 1 species
CAGAGCUCACGCACCGCAGCACCUGGCAAAGACGCAUGCAAGAAGAAAGGCUGCCGUUUUGUGCGACCUGGACGAGCAAAGUUGGAUCUCUCGUACAACCAACUGCACGGGGAAAUACCACAAAAUGGAGUAUUUGUUAUUUGGGUGACUUUGGCAUUGCAAACCUCGUGUGUAAUUCAAACUCAACAUCAGUUGGACAUUCCAGUUCAGCCUCAACUUCAGAUAGCCCAAUCGGAUUGAAGGGAACUAUAGGAUAUAUUGCCCCAGAGUAUGCUCAAACUGGCCAAGCAUCAACCAAUGGGGAUGUUUUCAGUUUUGGAAUAGUUCUUCUAGAGAUGUUGAUAGGUAAAAGACCAACAGACCCUAUGUUUGACAACGAACUCAACAUUGUCAAUUUCGCAGAGAGGAACUCCCCAGAUCAGAUAUUAGAAAUCAUUGAUGCUCACCUACAAGAAGAAUGCAAGGGAUUCAUUGGUGCAUCAGCGGAAGCAGGAGACUUGGUAUAUCAGUGCUUGGUGUCCCUUGUGCAAGUAGCUCUAUCUUGCACGCGUCUGUCUCCAAGAGAGCGAAUGAACAUGAGAGAAGUAGCCAUUGCACGCAGCCAGAACAUCAUAUAUAUGUUGGAGCAACCAAGCGAGAGCAAGUUAUGCCACGCUAGAGUGAUUUGGUAAUUGACAUCGAACUUGUCAGGAUUUAACUCGCGUUAUUUGCAACAUGUGCCAUCGAGUUUGUAUAAAUGAAUCGGUAUGAAUGAAUUAAGGUAAUUAUUUCAAAUUAGCUAGUAUCAGUUUCAAUGAUCGUGACAUGUUACCUGAUCACACAACCAUACGAAUCUUGUCUUCUUCCUAAUAAAACUUGACACAACCAUAUUCGCCGUUCGUCCCAAGAGCACCCUUCACUUGCCCAGAACCCACCAUUCGACGGCGCGCCGGUACGGGUACCCCAACCUAUGCGCGAAGGUGGGCUCACACUCACCUCCGCUCCGACAGAGCCCCUCUUCCUCGGUCAGAUCGGCGAGGUUGUUCGGCCCGAACGUGGCGCCUCCACGGGAGAGCAUGUUGGCCCUCUCGGCGUUCUUGCAAUGGCGUUUGAACUCCCUGUACGGCAUAGCCUUCUCCUCUUCGCUCUUGUACCUGCGCUCAUACUUGACCAUCCACUCCUCGAACCUCGCCUUCAUGGCCGCCUCCUUCUCCAAGUCCUGCUCCUCCAGCGUCGCCGCAUCCUUAUCGGUUAGCUCCCAAC